rnacentral:rRNA from 1 species
GGAAUCUUAGACAAUAGGCGAAAGCCUGAUCUAGCCGUGCCGCGUGGACGAUGAAGGCCUUAGGGUUGUAAAGUCCUUUCGCUGGGGAAGAUAAUGACGGUACCCAGUAAAGAAGCCCCGGCUAGCUCCGUGCCAGCAGCCGCGGUAAUACGGAGGGGGCUAGCGUUGUUCGGAAUUACUGGGCGUAAAGCGCACGUAGGCGGAUUGGAAAGUUGGGGGUGAAAUCCCGGAGCUCAACCCUGGAACUGCCUUCAAAACUCCCAGUCUAGAGUUCGAGAGAGGUGAGUGGAAUUCCGAGUGUAGAGGUGAAAUUCGUAGAUAUUCGGAGGAACACCAGUGGCGAAGGCGGCUCACUGGCUCGAUACUGACGCUGAGGUGCGAAAGCGUGGGGAGCAAA